GAUGAACGCUGGCGGCGUGCUUAACACAUGCAAGUCGAACGAUGAAGCCCAGCUUGCUGGGUGGAUUAGUGGCGAACGGGUGAGUAACACGUGAGUAACCUGCCCUUAACUCUGGGAUAAGCCUGGGAAACUGGGUCUAAUACCGGAUAGGAGCGUCCACCGCAUGGUGGGUGUUGGAAAGAUUUAUCGGUUUUGGAUGGACUCGCGGCCUAUCAGCCUGUUGGCGAGGUAAUGGCUCACUAAGGCGACGACGGGUAGCCGGCCUGAGAGGGUGACCGGCCACACUGGGACUGAGACACGGCCCAGACUCCUACGGGAGGCAGCAGUGGGGAAUAUUGCACAAUGGGCGCAAGCCUGAUGCAGCGACGCCGCGUGAGGGAUGACGGCCUUCGGGUUGUAAACCUCUUUCAGUAGGGAAGAAGCGAAAGUGACGGUACCUGCAGAAGAAGCACCGGCUAACUACGUG
rnacentral:rRNA from 1 species